ensembl:processed_transcript
ACCGCAGAAAGGGACUCCAUUUCCUCAGGGAAGAAGCCCAUCAUCUUUUUUUCUGCCACUUCGAUUCUUUGUACAUCAAAGAAGAAUGAACCUGUUCACAAUGAGAA